rnacentral:tmRNA from 1 species
GGGGGCGAUAAGGGCUCGACGGGGAUAGGUAGGGUUAAACUGCAGGCCGUGGUCGCACCCGCCACGUAAAAAAGGGUGCAAAAACACAACUGCCGAUGAAUAUUCUUAUGCUAUGGCAGCCUAAAGAGAAAGGCUGCCACGCACUUAAGGAUGUUGCCUGCGCAUCCUUAAGUGUGUGACCAAGCAGGCUUUGGCUAAAGGAAUUGGUAGGGUUCCUUUAGCCGAGAAAUAACCUACCUGGUAGAAAGUCUGGGUGCCUGUGCCCAGCUUUCUACGAGAUUUAAACACAGGCUAAGCCUGUAGAGGUUUAACCUGAACUAUCUCCGGACGCGGGUUCGAUUCCCGCCGCCUCCAUAU